UACGUAGGGUGCAAGCGUUGUCCGGAAUUAUUGGGCGUAAGGAGCUUGUAGGCGGUUUGUCGCGUCUGCUGUGAAAUUUCGGGGCUCAACCCCGAACUUGCAGUGGGUACGGGCAGACUAGAGUGUGGUAGGGGAGACUGGAAUUCCUGGUGUAGCGGUGAAAUGCGCAGAUAUCAGGAGGAACACCGAUGGCGAAGGCAGGUCUCUGGGCCACUACUGACGCUGAGAAGCGAAAGCAUGGGGAGCGAACAGG
rnacentral:rRNA from 1 species